rnacentral:rRNA from 1 species
AAAUAAAGACCCGUAUGAACGGCUAAAUGAGGAUUUAACUGUCUCCUUUAACCAAUCAGUGAAACUGAUUUUCUAGUACAAAAGCUAGAAUAAUAUUAUAAGACGAGAAGACCCUGUGGNAGCUUUAAAUCUUAACCAAAAUAUGUAUACCCCUUGUAUUUAUGAAACAAUAUUUUAAGUUGGGGCGACUUCGGAGAAAAACACAANCCUCCGAGCACAAGAGNUUCANUUCYUAAAUCUAGGSCCACUAGCYUAGACUAACNAUUGNACCCAGSMCUGCUGAUCAACGAACCAAGUUACCCCAGGGAUAACAGCGCCAUCUUCUUCAAGAGUUCAUAUCGACAAGAAGGUUUACGACCUCGAUGUUGGAUCAGGACACCCCAAUGGUGUAGCCGCUAUAAAGU